AGUGAACGCUGGCGGUAGGCCUAACACAUGCAAGUCGAACGGCAGCACAGUAAGAGCUUGCUCUUACGGGUGGCGAGUGGCGGACGGGUGAGGAAUACAUCGGAAUCUACUUUUUCGUGGGGGAUAACGUAGGGAAACUUACGCUAAUACCGCAUACGACCUACGGGUGAAAGCAGGGGAUCUUCGGACCUUGCGCGAUUGAAUGAGCCGAUGUCGGAUUAGCUAGUUGGCGGGGUAAAGGCCCACCAAGGCGACGAUCCGUAGCUGGUCUGAGAGGAUGAUCAGCCACACUGGAACUGAGACACGGUACAGACUCCUACGGGAGGCAGCAGUGGGGAAUCUUGGACAAUGGGCGCAAGCCUGAUCCAGCCAUACCGCGUGGGUGAAGAAGGCCUUCGGGUUGUAAAGCCCUUUUGUUGGGAAAGAAAAGCAGCAGGUUAAUACCCCGCUGUUCUGACGGUACCCAAAGAAUAAGCACCGGCUAACUUCGUG
rnacentral:rRNA from 1 species